rnacentral:rRNA from 1 species
GACGAACGCUGGCGGCGUGCCUAACACAUGCAAGUCGAGCGGGGACAGGAUUUCGGUUCUGUUCUAGCGGCGGACGGGUGAGUAACGCGUGAGCAACCUGUCCCGAACAGGGGGAUACCAGAUGGAAACAUCUGCUAAUACCGCAUAAGACCACGCUCCCACAUGGGAGCGGGGUCAAAGGAGCAAUCCGGUUCGGGGUGGGCUCGCGUCCGAUUAGCUAGUUGGUGGGGUAACGGCCCACCAAGGCGACGAUCGGUAGCCGACCUGAGAGGGUGAUCGGCCACAUUGGAACUGAGAGACGGUCCAAACUCCUACGGGAGGCAGCAGUGGGGAAUAUUGGGCAAUGGGGGAAACCCUGACCCAGCAACGCCGCGUGAGGGAAGAAGGUUUUCGGAUUGUAAACCUCUGUCCUCAGGGACGAAAAAAUGACGGUACCUGAGGAGGAAGCCCCGGCUAACUACGUG